rnacentral:rRNA from 1 species
AGAACGAACGCUGGCGGCAUGCCUAACACAUGCAAGUCGAACGUGAUCCAGGCUUCGGUCUGGUGAAAGUGGCAGACGGGUGAGUAACGCGUGGGAACCUGCCCUGUGGUAGGGAAUAACCGCGGGAAACUGCGGCUAAUACCCUAUGUGUCCUGAGGGACAAAGAUUUAUCGCCAUAGGAGGGGCCCGCGUCGGAUUAGCUAGUUGGCAGGGUAACGGCCUACCAAGGCUUUGAUGGGUAGCCGGCCUGAGAGGGUGUACGGCCACAUUGGGACUGAGAAACGGCCCAGACUCCUACGGGAGGCAGCAGUAGGGAAUUUUGCGCAAUGGGGGAAACCCUGACGCAGCAACGCCGCGUGGAGGAUGAAGUACUUCGGUACGUAAACUCCUUUCGAUCGGGACGAUAAUGACGGUACCGGAAGAAGAAGCCCCGGCUAACUUCGUGCCAGCAGCCGCGGUAAUACGAGGGGGGCAAGCGUUGUUCGGAAUUAUUGGGCGUAAAGGGUGCGUAGGCGGUUUGGUAAGUCUUUUGUGAAAUCUACAGGCUCAACUUGUAGACUGCAAGGGAAACUGCCGGGCUUGAGUAUGGGAGAGGUGAGUGGAAUUCCUGGUGUAGCGGUGAAAUGCGUAGAUAUCAGGAGGAACACCUGUGGCGAAAGCGGCUCACUGGACCAUAACUGACGCUGAUGCACGAAAGCUAGGGGAGCAAACAGGAUUAGAUACCCUGGUAGUCCUAGCCCUAAACGAUGACUGCUUGGUGUGGCGGGUACCCAAUCCCGCCGUGCCGUAGCUAACGCGUUAAGCAGUCCGCCUGGGGAGUACGGUCGCAAGGCUGAA